UCGAUGUACCAUUCUUCGUCAAACUGCUCGUCACUUAUAACCUGCAAAAAUUAAGCAGAUUUAGGAACCCAAAGUUUCUUGGGUCCAUGUGAGGUUUUCAUGGGAACAGGAAUAGUUAGAGAGAUAUCAACAAGAUAUGUUCUUUUAAUUAAAGUUGUUUCAUCUUUCUUUUUAAUGGUGAAUACUUUUAUUUUGUUAAGAUUGGGUUGGUUUGCUUUGGGCUCAGGUUUGGAUUCAUCGACCUUUUGCUUUCCCUUCUGUUCAGCUGAUGAAUGAGGUUUUUGAGGAAAAGCGGGAUUAGCUUUAGAGCAAGAUGGAGAUGAAUGAGUAGAAGUAGAAGAACGAGAAGAAUUAGAACGAGAGAAUUUGGAUGGGGAGGACUUCCUGGCUGAUGACUCAAGGUGACCCUUUUGCUUUUGAUCAUUAGAGGGGCUGACCUUCGAGUCUUGUUCUCUUUUGACUUCAGAGCCGAACCUCUGCGUUCGGUUGGAGUUGUUCUUGGAACCGAACCUUUGGUUUCGGUUGAAAUCCUCUUGUGAACCGAACCUUGACUUACGGUUGGUAUCUUCUUGUGAGCCGAACCUUGACUUUCGGUUGGUAUCUUCUUGCGAAC
rnacentral:lncRNA from 1 species